UGCGUGCGUGCGUGGGUGCUGGUUGUUUUAGAUUUGUUUCAGCCAUUUUUUUGUGGAUCGCGGGAGGAAGGAUAGUAGCGAGGUGGGGAUUAGCGUGGAAGUUUUUUUUACGAGACUGCCACCGCAAGGGAGAGAGGUGGAAUCAUACAAGGGGUGAAAAAGGUUGAACCAUCACGACGACGGCAGAUCCCCUUUAAUAGUAGAGAUAUGUAAAUUUAGACAUGCAUAUCGCGUGUAUAGUGUCAUUAGGAGAACUACUUCAGUAUGCAUGCCAUGUACCUACCAAUUGGUACAGUCAAAUCUUUGAAAUUGGUCAAGAUAAUUGGCACAACUAUAGCUAGUAGUACAAUAUUCGUACAUCAGUACAGAUCGAGGAGCUAUAUAAUAAAGCAACAGAAAGUUAUCAAGCCUGGAGGAGAGAAACAUUCCUGAGUCCAUGUGUAUCAGCAUCAGUCCAUGCAUAUUGAGCUACAUGUAGCGUGUGUAGGACUAAGAGGCUUCGGUAAUCUGAUGACAUGAUAUAUCCCAUAGCACAGUACCUCUACUGUUCACUCAUGUAGUGUCAACAAUCCAGUACGUAUCAGCAAAUAGCGAUUCAUCACUAGUGGAGUGGAACAUGGUAAACACAUUGCUAAAGAAAAGCAAGAUAUACCCGUGCGGUGCCAACGGCUAGACAUUUCACUCCGCCGCCUGGGUGUGAUCCUCGCUAGCAAGUCAUAUCACACUUUCAUCUCCUCAUCAGGGAUAUCUCGUCUCGUUCGUCUUUUGUGCUAAAACAAAGAUAAAUUUAAAAAAGAAACUCAUGUGGAUAUAAGUGAGGUUGGCCGAUUUAUGUUUUUUUAACACAUUAUUCAUG
rnacentral:lncRNA from 1 species